rnacentral:lncRNA from 12 species
UGCAGGUGAGCAGACCUCAGCUGGAGGCCGUCUACUGAUCUCAUUCCCUACAGGUAGGAAGUAAGUCUUCAGAGAAUCUCAGCAAGCCACCUCUGCGUCCACCAAAGAACACCAGCCUCAAAGUACAAUGAAGUGAAAGUGAUUAGCAACUGCUACACAUUUUCCUUGUUUACGGUAUAAAUUCCAUGAAGAUGGGGACAUUAGCCUUCAAUCACAUAGAAGUUACAUGAAAUAAGUUGAAUUUGAAGCCACACAGCCUAACUCCAGGGACUGUGUACUUAACUGGUAAGUUUCGUGGCCAAGUAAUUCUAAUAUAGUUUUCCUUUCAGUAAAAUAGUUUUCAGUAUAAAUUAUUA